GCGCAGCAGGCGCGAAUCUUCCACAAUGGACGGAAGUCCGAUGGAGCGACGCCGCGUGCGGGAUGAAGGCCUUAUGGGUUGUAAACCGCUGUCAGGGGGGGAAGAACAUCGGAAUGAACAAUACUCAUUCCGACUGACGUUACCCCCAGAGGAAGCUCCGGCCAACUCCGUGCCAGCAGCCGCGGUAAUACGGGGGGAGC
rnacentral:rRNA from 1 species